AGAAGCCAAAGGGAGUGACAUAUAAAGGGCAAGUAAUCAAGGAGGUGAUGGAGUCCAGGUGAGUGUCAUUAUGCUCCUACCGCUGGUGACAGGUGUGCGCCCUAACGAGCAGCCUGGUGACCUAGAGGCCAGAGAGGGAGCACACGUGACAUUGGUGUUACAUUGUUUACGGAAAACUCAUCUGUUUCAAAAGCAAAGUAUAAGUCAGACAAAUGCAUAACUGAUGACAAUGCAACUAGAAGAUAAAGAUUGUUUUGUGUGUUUGCAGGUUCAGUCCAAUCACCACAGAGAAUUACAAGAAGUCUUCAUGGCAACCAAUUUGUAAAAAAAAAAAAAAAAAAAACAAGUACCUAAGUGUAACGGAUGUGAAACGGCUAGCUUAGUUAGCGGUGCGCGCUAAAUAGCGUUUCAAUCGGUGACGUCACUUGCUCUGAGACCUUGUUGAUGUGUGCAGAGGGUCCCUGGUUCGCGCCCGGGUAUGGGCGAGGGGACGGUCUAAAGUUAUACUGUUACAUAAGUACCAAGUUAUAAUUGUUAAUAGCAUUAUUUAAGGCUAAGGCCAAAGCCUUUUGCAUAAAAUCCUUCCUGUGUCCUUCAGGGGAUCGCCUUACUAUGUGCUGGUCAACGUGCCUUGGGAGAAUGGGAGCGGCGAUGGUAUUUCUUGUAACAAAGACAGUUGUACGAAGCUCCCGGAGCCCGAAGAUGAUGUAGGCCUAUGGAUGUUGUGUCUUGUGACACUGAAAAUUAAAUAAAUUGUUGUUGCAUAAUGUUCUCUGAUUCCCAUGCUCCACUCCUUGAUUGAAAGAACCCGUGUUAUGUUUAUCUUAGUACCUCGCCUCGCUUCUUAAAAAGGUGGUGCGGCUGUGUCUACAGGAAUAUUAUGUUAAUUUCCCUGACGUCACAUCCGCAUUGCAUACUUACUCCCAUUCACAGAGAAUUUGUUAGUAGGACAUGACGUGAUCCAGCUUGUGUGUGUAAUAUAACUGCUUGACCUACCUUGCAGAACAUGGACUAGGACAUCUGCCAUUCAUUGUGGUAGGCUUGCUUGGGUCAUAGACUGAUUAACAUUAUUAACUAACUAUUACACAUUCAAUCACUUUGAAAAAAGAAUGCUGAGUCUAUAUCAAGCACUGUCUAAUAAGAUACUUUAUGCAAUUUUUGUACUACUCCACUAUUGUAAAAUAGGUUUUGGAAAUGC
ensembl:lncRNA